GACGAACGCUGGCGGCGUGCCUAACACAUGCAAGUUGAGCGACGAACCAGGGCUUGCCCUGGGGCAAAGCAGCGAACGGGUGAGUAACACGUGGGUAACCUACUCCGAUAACCGGGACAACCCGAGGAAACUCGGGCUAAUACCGGAUGUGCUCACUGGACUUCGGUUCAGUGCGUAAAGGAAGCUUCGGCCUCCGUAUCGGGAGGGGCCCGCGGCCCAUUAGUUUGUUGGUGAGGUAACGGCUCACCAAGACCGCGAUGGGUAGCUGGUCUGAGAGGACGAUCAGCCACACUGGGACUGAGACACGGCCCAGACUCCUACGGGAGGCAGCAGUGGGGAAUCUUGCGCAAUGCGCGAAAGCGUGACGCAGCAACGCCGCGUGGGGGAAGAAGGCCUUCGGGUUGUAAACCCCUUUCAGGAGGGACGAAGGUUCGGCGGUGAAUAGCCGUCCGGACUGACGGUACCUCCACAAGAAGCCCCGGCUAACUACGUG
rnacentral:rRNA from 1 species